rnacentral:misc_RNA from 1 species
GAAACAUGGAAGAUAACACAUCCAGAAUGAGGUACAACAACCACAAUUGAUGUAAAGAGCACAGACAUUAAUCAUAUUGAAAAGUGAUAUCUCUCAUUGAAGAAUCAGUUAAAAUCAACAGCAAUGCAAAUAAACAGUCUUUUACACUUCAAUCGAUUGUAAACUGCAAAAUAGCAAUACUAACGUAUACAUUCUGAAUAAUUUCUCAUCCUGAAUUUACUUCCGCAUAGUCACACAGCUGUACAAUGUAUUUUCCUUUGGAUGAUAUAAGAACAUUUACUGUGCUUGAGUUUUGCACCCCCACCCCCUUUUUCCUUAGCAAUCACAUGAUGGAUCAAUAUUGUCAGGCUACAGAAAAGCUCCAAUUGCUUAAAAGUUCUAGCCCACAAAUGAAGAAAACCUUCUAAGGAAGCAAAUAGUUCUGACUACAAGUUCUCCACUUACUUGAUUGAGAGAAGUCUCUUCUUCCAUUAAUCCGAAAUAAUCUCAGCAUGUACAAAUACAUUAUAUACCUUCCAAUGACUUUAUAAAGCCCACUAUAGAUGAUGCCAACCCAAGUAAAUUUACAAAAUUUACAAGCAAUCUGAACAUACUUUUAUGUCAUGUUUAUCAUCCAAAUGACAGAAGAAAAACGAAUAAUACAAAAAUAAAGGAUUAUACCAAAAGUAUAACUAACAGAACCAA